CGUGAAUGGGCCACAACAUCUAAAGGAACUGGGGCACCUGGGAGUUUUCAUUUCCAUUAUUUCACUUGGAGCCAGUGGUUUUCAGAGCGGGGGGCCAGUGGCACCACAGAGCUGCCUGUGAGUAGAAGGGGAGAUGCAUCUGUCCUGUUGUGGGUUAAAUUGUGGCCCCCCCAACCCUCCCCUGCCACAAAAGAUAUAUGAGAGUCCUAACCCCUGGGAACAGUGACCUUAUUUGGAAAUGGAGUCUUUGCCGAAGUAAUCAAAUUCAGAUAAGGUCCUAUUGGAGUAGGUGGACGCUUCAUCCAAUAUGACUGCUGUCCUUCAAGAAGACAGAAAUGUGGAAACAGACACACAGAGGGAUCGCCAUGUGGGAUGCACAAGGGAACACCAUGAGAGACUGAGUCAGACACUGGAGUGAGCAGCUACAACCCAGGGAACCCCAAGGAAUUGCUGGCCACCACCAAAGCCCAGAGAAGCAGGGCAAGCCUCUACCCAGGGUUUCAGAGGGAGACGGCCUUGCCAGUCUCUUGGUUUCAGACUUCCAGCCCUCAGAUUGUGGGAAAACACAUUACUGCUGUUUUCAGCCAUACAAUUUGUGGUACUUUGUUAGGACCACCUUAGGAAAUGAAUAUGCAUCCUAACAGGACAACUUCGAUUCCAAGUCUCGUGUGGUGGGGCCAAAGAGCCCUUGCCCUGGAGUCACACAGACCCUGAUGUGCAGUGGGGAUCCCACCAUGCUGAACGACUUGCCCCAUUCUCCCAGAGCUACGGGACCACGAUGCCCCCCGUCACAGGUUGGAGGGAAAGAGUGAACGAGGUCCGGGCACGGUGUCUCUCGCCUGUAAUCUCAACACUUUGGAAGGCCAAGAUGCGUGGAUCACUUGAGGGAUAAAAAUAGAGUUGCUGUGAAGAUGAAGUAAAUGAAGACAUGCUGAGAACUCAGAACAACGCUUGGCAACAGUAAUUGUUUAAUACGU
rnacentral:lncRNA from 1 species